GGCAUUGCGUGCGCAUUCAUUACCAGUCCAAGGAUUUCUGGAAAAAGGACUAGCUGCAUUCCAUGAGGUGCAUCCCGAGAGAGAUCAUAAAAGGUACCUUUUGCACAUGAUUAAGGUAAAGGGUAUUUGUUCUUCACGGUUGAGGCGAUUUUGAUACUUGAACAGCCUCUUGACAGCAGAUUGCCCGUGAUGUUAUGUGGUGGAGAGAGCCAGAGAAGAGAAGCAAUGUUGAAAACCUAAUUCUACAUCUCAGAAAACAUGUAGGGUGAAAAGCCUCAAUUCCAUGACGUCCAGUUCCGUCUUGGUUCCAGCCUUUCGCAGGGUGUUAGUUCACUAGGUGCUAUGUACCAAAGGCGUUAUGCUUAUGCAAACACCGACAGGGCAUUCCACACAUGUCAAGUUAGCCGACAUCUAUCUUUGGCAAACCCAAGUGCCUCACCGUAUUUGUACAAGCACCAGCUUAGAAAGGAUUGGCCAGUUUUGCAAGGCGAUUUUCUUAUUGGAGGUGUCUUUGCUGCUGUCUCAAAACCUCAGUAAAUCUAAUGUAACCUAAGAAAGGAUUGGCAGUUUGGCUAGUUUUGUUGUUAAUUUGCACGUGUAACCUGCAAACUCAUUAAAGCUACUCACAUAAUCUGUAAAUUUAUGGAUCUGUAAAUAUAUUUUUUCUUUGAUGAAAUGAAUUUUAGUAUAAUACAAUAGAUAA